UAGGGAAUAUUGGUAAUGUGCGCAAGCGCGAACCAGCAACGCCGCGUGCGCGAUGACGGCCUUCGGGUUGUAAAACGCUUUUUAUGGGGAUGAGGAAGGACAGUACUCAUAGAAUAAGCCUCGGCUAACUACGUGCCAGCAGCCGCGGUAAAACGUAGGAGGCGAGCGUUAUCCGGAUUUACUGGGCGUAAAGCGUGUGUAGGCGGUUUGAUAAGUUGGAUGUGAAAGCUCCUGGCCUAACUGGGAGAGGUCGUUCAAAACUAUCAGACUUGAGAGUGGUAGAGGGAGGUGGAAUUCCGGGUGUAGUGGUGAAAUGCGUAGAUAUCCGGAGGAACACCAGUGGCGAAAGCGGCCUCCUGGCCCAUUUCCGACGCUCAGACACGAAAGCUAAGGUAGCAAACGG
rnacentral:rRNA from 1 species